GCGGAAAUAGCUCAGUUGGUAGAGCAUAACCUUGCCAAGGUUAGGGUCGCGAGUUCGAGUCUCGUUUUCAGCU
rnacentral:tRNA from 1 species